rnacentral:rRNA from 1 species
CUUCGGUUCACCGGGCGCACUGCUUUUACAAAGAAACGAUUUUACAAACUGAGUAAUCCACACAAAUAGUCCCUUUUUAUGUCUCCACAUUACAAUCACACACAAAGUACAACCCAACUUCAUUUUUUUUCCUGAAAUGCACUGAAUCGCACGCAUUAACAUAGCAAGAAUGCAAAUGGUCUGCGCCGCCGAACCGCACGCACUCGCCAGACGUAAUGCAUGCACUGUAAAUGCACUGUACAAGCAAGCUAGCUGCAAAACAAACUUCAGUGAGCUGCAGAUAGGGUCCCGUCGGCGCUUGAACGGAUUAGGAGGGGUUGAUUUGCGACGAAAUGCUCACAGCACUUCUUACAUGGGCACCGCCACCGGACUGCACGACCGCGUGCACCGCACUGCACGACACAUGCCGAAUACUGUGAGGGCUCACCCCCAAUGGACUGCAUCAACGCACUGCAAAAUAUACCCAAUGGAAGCUUCUGAACUGCACUGCACCCAAAUUACAUCAGUUUUUCUGAAAAACAUUGGAAAUUAUUCUAAACAGCAACAAUACUGGGAUGGGAUGCACAUGGUGAGCUGCAUGGCAUCGCGCCUCCGUACUGCAUGCCGUUGGUGGCUGGGACCUCGUCAGAAUAAGAGGAAAGGGGUUGGCAGAGAGGUUGGGGAGAAGAGCCCCUCAUCGUCUUGCUCUAGAGGAGGUAGGGGAAGGUCACCUGAAUGAGGAGGAGGCGACGGGGGUCAGAUUUAUGCGGUGGGGGAAGGAGCCCGGCUGCACGUGCGCGGAUUUUUGCUGAAUGAGUAGGUUGGUUUGCUCGUCGGAUCCGCCGCGGGAAGCGGAGGGGUGCUAGUGCAUGCCUCCUGACUGGCCUCCUCCCGGUGGCAAGCAGGGGAGUUGCUCGACGGGGCCUCCCUGCCGUAGAGGGAGAGGACGACCAGAGCCGGAUCCGCCGCGGGCAGCAGAGGCACUGGUGUGGAUUUCGUCGGAUCCAGCGCCGGGCUGCGCGAGUGGACGGAUUCCACACUGAGGGUCGGCGGCGGCCGGAUUCGUCGUUUAUGGCCGCACCAAUGGUCGUGGCGGCUGGAUCCGGUGGCUGAGGCCGCGUCGGGGGCGGAGGAGCGGCCGGAUCCCGCCAUGACCGCUGAUGGCGAGGGAGAAAGAGAAGGGUGGCGGCCGGCGUAGAAGGUGGUGCCAUGGGAUGUGGCCGGAGAAGGUGGUGGGCGGCGCCGCCGGAG